GAUGAACGCUGGCGGCGUGCCUAAUACAUGCAAGUCGAGCGAACAGACGAGGAGCUUGCUCCUCUGACGUUAGCGGCGGACGGGUGAGUAACACGUGGAUAACCUACCUAUAAGACUGGGAUAACUUCGGGAAACCGGAGCUAAUACCGGAUAAUAUAUUGAACCGCAUGGUUCAAUAGUAAAAGACGGUUUUGCUGUCACUUAUAGAUGGAUCCGCGCCGCAUUAGCUAGUUGGUAAGGUAACGGCUUACCAAGGCAACGAUGCGUAGCCGACCUGAGAGGGUGAUCGGCCACACUGGAACUAAGACACGGUCCAGACUCCUACGGGAGGCAGCAGUAGGGAAUCUUCCGCAAUGGGCGAAAGCCUGACGGAGCAACGCCGCGUGAGUGAUGAAGGUCUUCGGAUCGUAAAACUCUGUUAUUAGGGAAGAACAAAUGUGUAAGUAACUAUGCACGUCUUGACGGUACCUAAUCAGAAAGCCACGGCUAACUACGUG
rnacentral:rRNA from 1 species